CGACGCGGCACACAAUAGUAAUUGGUUUAGCUCAUCUUCCAGUGUUUUUUUAAUUAUUUCAAAACACUGAAAGAUGAGCUAAACCAAUUACUAUUGUGGGCCGCGUC